GCUUGCUUUGGUAGCACAUAUUAAAAUUGGAAUGAUACAAGGAAGAUUAGCAUGGUCCCUGAGCAAAGAUGACAUGCAAAUCUGUGAAGCAUUCCAUAUUUUU